rnacentral:rRNA from 1 species
UACGUAGGGUGCAAGCGUUAAUCGGAAUUACUGGGCGUAAAGCGUGCGCAGGCGGUUGUGCAAGACAGAUGUGAAAUCCCCGGGCUCAACCUGGGAAUUGCAUUUGUGACUGCACGGCUAGAGUGUGUCAGAGGGGGGUAGAAUUCCACGUGUAGCAGUGAAAUGCGUAGAGAUGUGGAGGAAUACCGAUGGCGAAGGCAGCCCCCUGGAUAACACUGACGCUCAUGCACGAAAGCGUGGGAGCAAACAGG